GCACUGAAAAAUUCAACAAUCGUCGUUGGUGCAAUUAAUACAUGCGGAGAUCCGUCUACGACUACGGCAACUUUCCCUUCAGCAAGAAUCGCUGCAAUCCGAUCCGGCCGUUCCGUAUCAAGCAUUUGCGGAAAGGGAGAAUGCACGUUGUCCGCAAUAAGCUGAACAAUAUAAGAACUGUCUGUAAUCUGGU
rnacentral:antisense_RNA from 1 species